rnacentral:rRNA from 1 species
CUUGAACGCUGGCGGCAGGCCUAACACAUGCAAGUCGAACGCGUCGCGCACGGGUGUAUAAUCUCUGGAACAUUCCUCGAUGGAGGGGGAUCUCUUCUGGAAACGGUAGAUAACACCGUAUACCAUCGUAUGCCCCCAGAUGGGAUUGUCUAGUAUGUGGGGUAACGGCUCACGUGGGCGACGACCCCUAGCUGGUCUGAGAGGAGGACCAGCAACACUGGAACUGAGACACGGUCCAGACUCCUACGGGAGGCAGCAGUGGGGAAUAUUGCACAAGGGGCGCAAGCCUGAUGCAGCCAUGCCGCGUGUAUGAAGAAGGCCUUCGGGUUGUAAAGUACUUUCAGCGGGGAGGCGUUACGCGCAGAAGAAGCACCGGCUAACUCCGUGCCAGCAGCCGCGGUAAUUC